GACGAACCACACAAACGUUAUUCGGAAUUACUGGGCUUAAAGGGUGCGUAGGCUGUGCGGAAAGUUAGGUGUGAAAUCCCCCGGCUCAACCGGGGAAUUGCGCUUAAAACUACCGUGCUAGAGGAAUACAGAGGUGAGCGGAACUUCGGGUGGAGCGGUGAAAUGCGUUGAUAUCCGAAGGAACACCGGUGGCGAAAGCGGCUCACUGGGUAUUUUCUGACGCUGAUGCACGAAAGCUAGGGGAGCAAACGGG
rnacentral:rRNA from 1 species